GUCUGUGGCCAUACCACUCUCAAUACACCUGAUCUUGUCUGAUCUCAGAAGCUAAGCAGGGUCAGGCCUGGUUAGUACUUGGAAGGGAGAAACGAAACUCAAAAAGCUAAAAAAA
rnacentral:rRNA from 1 species